rnacentral:rRNA from 1 species
ACGAACGCUGGCGGCGGGCUUAACACAUGCAAGUCGCACGGAAAGGCCCUGCUUUUGUGGGGUGCUCGAGUGGCGAACGGGGGAGGAACACGUGAGUAACCUGCCCUUGACUUUGGGAUAACUUCAGGAAACUGGGGCUAAUACCGGAUAGGAGCUCCUGCUGCAUGGUGGGGGAUGGAAAGUUUCGGCGGUUGGGGAUGGACUCGCGGCUUAUCAGCUUGUUGGUGGGGUAGUGGCUUACCAAGGCUUUGACGGGUAGCCGGCCUGGGAGGGUGGCCGGCCUCAUUGGGACUGAGAUACGGCCCAGACUCCUACGGGAGGCAACAGUGGGGAAUAUUGCACAGUGGGCGGAAGCCUGAUGCAGCAACGCCGCGUGCGGGAUGACGGCCUUCGGGUUGUAAACCGCCUUCGCCUGUGACGAAGCGUGAGUGACGGUAAUGGGUAAAGAAGCACCGGCUAACUACGUG